GAAUAUUGGACAAUGGGGGGAACCCUGAUCCAGCCAUGCCGCGUGUGUGAAGAAGGCCUUUUGGUUGUAAAGCACUUUAAGCGAGGAGGAGGCUACCGAGAUUAAUACUCUUGGACAGUGGACGUUACUCGCAGAAGAAGAACCGGCAACAUCUGUGCCAUCAGCCGCGGUAAUACAGAGGGUGAAAGCGUUAAUCGGAUUUACUGGGCGUAAAGCGCGCGUAGGUGGCCAAUUAAGUCAAAUGUGAAAUCCCCGAGCUUAACUUGGGAAUUGCAUUCGAUACUGGUUGGCUAGAGUAUGGGAGAGGAUGGUAGAAUUCCAGGUGUAGCGGUGAAGUGCGUAGAGAUCUGGAGGAAUACCGAUGGCGAAGGCAGCCAUCUGGCCUAAUACUGACACUGAGGUGCGAAAGCAUGGGGAGCAAACAG
rnacentral:rRNA from 1 species